rnacentral:misc_RNA from 1 species
GAUGAAGAACGUAGCGAAAUGCGAUAAGUAAUGUGAAUUGCAGAAUUCAGUGAAUCAUCGAAUCUUUGAACGCACCUUGCGCCCUUUGGCCAUUCCGAAGGGCAUGCCUGUUUGAGUAUCAUGAACACCUCAACUCUUUAUGGUUUUCCAUGAUGAGCUUGGACUUUGGGGGUUUUGCUGGCCUAUGGUCGGCUCCUCUAAAAUAAAUCAGCUUACCGGUGUUUGGUGGGUAUCAUGGGUGUGAUAACUAUCUACGCUUGUGGUUUUUCCACCAGGUAACCUUCGACAGCGGAGGUUCACUGGAGCUCAUAGAUGUCUCUCCUCAGCGAGGACAGCCCUUUGAAUGUUUGAUCCCAAAUCAGGUAGGACUACCCGCUGAACUUAAGCAUAUCAAUAAGCGGGGA